rnacentral:rRNA from 1 species
UACGGAGGUGGCAAGCGUUGUUCGGAAUUACUGGGCGUAAAGGGCUCGUAGGCGGCCUUCUAAGUCAGACGUGAAAUCCCCCGGCUUAACCUGGGAACUGCGUCUGAUACUGGAAGGCUAGAGUGCGGGAGAGGGAUGCGGAAUUCCAGGUGUAGCGGUGAAAUGCGUAGAUAUCUGGAGGAAUACCGGUGGCGAAGGCGGCAUCCUGGACCGACACUGACGCUGAGGAGCGAAAGCUAGGGGAGCAAACGGG